rnacentral:lncRNA from 1 species
GUGGAAUGAACCUUACUUGUUGAAUAUCUCCUGGUUACUGGUUGGAUUCACUUAUAAAAGAAUCAUUUUCCUCUGUGUGGAAGCCACUUAGUGGCAUAGUUAAUUAUAAACCCAGGGAUUACAAAGCCUUUUGAUUUCCUGAAGGAGGGACAUACCACUAUAUCAAAUAAGCUUGACAUUAACAGCCAAAAUGGUGCUGUCCCAGAGACAACGAGAUGAACUGUAAGUUUCUUUCUUUUUCUUUUUUUUUUUUUUGUGAUGUUAAGAA